rfam:Desulfuromonadales bacterium C00003094 3datasets_contig_160117, whole genome shotgun sequence.
GACCGAGAACUGAGGGGACAGGUCUCCUCCUUCAGAUCCGGCAGCGGUAAUACCGUUAAAUCCAAAGCUAAACCAAGGAG